CUGGAACAACCAAUCGUAGUCUGUGCAGCGCACAUUUUAAGAAGAAAUGCAGUGUGAAGCAGUGUAGGUACUUUGCGUAUUGUAGCACGACACGAAUUAAAUAACCUAUGUUUUUUUAUGAAAGAUAUGAUAAAGUAAACAUUUUUAUACUUAAAAAAAAAUUCAGUUAUAAAUUAUGACACCAUUUUUAUCUAUUAGCAACUAACCUUGUAAUAUUCAUUUGUUUAAUAUCAAUUUAAUUAUUAUGUAUCGUUUUAAAGACCCGUAUUAGACACCCGAGUCCCCGGUGAUCUUCCGAUCCGUAUAUUCACUCGGGUUUCAACAUUUCAGAUUUUUCAACAAUUUCGUUUAAAUUAUUAGAUCUGUGGUCAUUUACGUCUCUAAAAUAAUCAGUUCUUCUCAAGGAAAACGUAUACAUGUUGAGGAUAUUUUACAACCAGAAUACUUCAUCACAAGACAAACUUACGAAGGAGAACAGUCUUGUUUAUGUUCCACUAGAAAUUCAUAAUUUACCUAAAGUGUGUCACUAUUUGAUAAAUGGUAAUGGAGCAAAGAUCCCGCAUAGAAGGUACUGUUGACGCAGAAAGAGGAGAAUAUCUUUGGUAAGUAAACGUAACGCUAUUUGCCAAGGAUAUUCUCCUCUUUUUACGCAACAGAUUAAAUAUUACCUCGCGGAACAAAAUUACGAAACCGAAGAACGAAAUCAGCUGGUAGUGUCAUUUAUUAGACAGUGAAAAAGAAGAUAUUACACAGGAGAUGUUACAGAUACACAGUGAUGAAAAAAUGACGGAUAAGUUCGAUGUUAUAUUGUUAAGAAGACUCUGAAGAACUCGAAAAAAUGUAUUAAAAAAAUCCCUGGACAAAUUUUUGAAAAUAUUAAACUUCAAAAGUGAAAAAUUAACUCCGCAAUUCUGAUGUUUUAAUGUGAAUUUAAUCGACAAUCUAAAAUUCCGAUAAAGAUUGUCAAAAAUGACGCUGUGGAUCGUAUUCUAGAAAAUUAUUAUUAAAUUAUUAUUUGUUCAACUUUGAACUUUCCUAUUUUGAAAAGUUUAGUACAGGGAUAUUUUUAACCAUUUUUCGAGUUUUUCAGAGCCUUCUUAACAACGUAUCAUCGAGCUUAUCCGUCAUUCCUUUAUCACCCUGUAUUUUUCGCUUUUUCUUAACAUUGUCAGAAAAGUUUUGGUAAUGUAAAAAACGCUACUGAUGUAUGCAAUGUCUAUAGCAACUCACGUUUCUGUUUUAGAUAAUACAAACCCCAUAUUCUACGACAACACAAGACCAACCAAAAAUCCUCUUAUAUACAUCCUACAUUCAUCAAACCAUCAUUUAUCAAAAAAAUGAGAAACUCUCACUGUUCUCUAGCUUGGUUUCUUUGGGUUUGCUACUAAGGAAAAUCACAGACUGUAGAGGAGAACUUGACAGUUUGUCUACAAGCAUAGUGGUUGCAAGAAGUUGGAGGGGCAUUUUGAUCAAUUAAAUUAUAAAUACUGAACUAAAAUAAAACGCCAGCUUUGCUCUUA